CCUACGGGAGGCAGCAGUGGGGAAUAUUGGACAAUGGGCGAAAGCCUGAUCCAGCAAUGCCGCGUGAGUGAUGAAGGCCUUAGGGUUGUAAAGCUCUUUUACCAGGGAUGAUAAUGACAGUACCUGGAGAAUAAGCUCCGGCUAACUCCGUGCCAGCAGCCGCGGUAAUACGGAGGGAGCUAGCGUUGUUCGGAAUUACUGGGCGUAAAGCGUACGUAGGCGGUUAUUCAAGUCAGAGGUGAAAGCCUGGAGCUCAACUCCAGAACUGCCUUUGAAACUAGAUAGCUAGAAUCACGGAGAGGUUAGUGGAAUUCCGAGUGUAGAGGUGAAAUUCGUAGAUAUUCGGAAGAACACCAGUGGCGAAGGCGACUAACUGGACGUGUAUUGACGCUGAGGUACGAAAGCGUGGGGAGCAAACAGGAUUAGAUACCCUGGUAGUCCACGCCGUAAACGAUGAUAACUAGCUGUUCGGUCUCUACGAGACUGAGUGGCGCNGCUACGACAUUAAGUUAUCCGUCCGUCGGGUAGGUACGGUCGCGAGAAGUUAAACGUAACGUAAAGGUAAGUUAGUUACGGCGUGAGACGUGCCGACGGACGACGACGAGGGAGGAGG
rnacentral:rRNA from 1 species